AGCGAACGUUAGCGGCGGGCUUAACACAUGCAAGUCGAACGCGGAAAGGGAUUCGUCCCCAGUAGCGUGGCGUCCGGGUGAGUAACACGUAGGAAACCUUGCCUAGAGUGGGGGAUAACGUCCCGAAAGGGACGCUAAAUACCGCAUAAGCCCACGUCGGCCUCGGCCGAUGCGGGAAAAGAUGGCCUCUGAAAUUCAAGCUAUCGCUCAAGGAUGGUCCUGCGGCGCAUCGAGCUAGUUGGUGGGGUAACGGCCUACCAAGGGCGAAGACGCGUAGCUGGUCCUGAGAGGAUGAUCAGCCACACUGGGCACUGAAACACGGGCCAGACUCCUACGGGAGCAGCAGUGGGGAAUAUUGGACAAUGGGCGCAAGCCUGAUCCAGCCACG
rnacentral:rRNA from 1 species